UCAGGAUUAACGCUGGCGGCGUGCCUAAUACAUGCAAGUCGGAUGGUUAGCUUGCUAACCAUGGCGAACGGGUGAGUAACACGUAGGUAACCUGUCUUAAAGACGAGGAUAACCAUUGGAAACGAUGGAUAAUACUGGAUAGGAUAUAUUAGGGCAUCCUGAUAUAUUUAAAGAUUUAUCACUUUAUGAGGGGCCUGCGGCGCAUUAGUUAGAUGGCGGUGUAAAGGACCACCAUGACGAUGAUGCGUAGCCGGACUGAGAGGUUGAACGGCCACAAUGGGACUGAGAACGGCCCAUACUCCUACGGGAGGCAGCAGUAGGGAAUUUUCGGCAAUGGACGGAAGUCUGAACCCGAGCAACGCCGCGUGAACGAAGAAGUUAUUUCGGUAUGUAAAGUUCUUUUAUUUGGGAAGAAAAGAUAAGAUUGACUGUACCAAAUGAAUAAGCUCCGGCUAACUACGUGCCAGCCGCCGC
rnacentral:rRNA from 1 species